AGUGGGCGUAGUUUGAAUUUUAAUAAAAAUAAUUUUAUUAGUUUAGGUUUAAGUAUAUUUUAUAGAAAAAAUUGUUUAAUUUAUAGUGAAGUAGUAUUGUGGAAGAAUGGUGAAAUAUUGGAAGGGGAUUUAUUGAAAAGUAGAUUUAUAUUGUACCUUGUGUAUCAGGGUUAAUUUAUUUAUGUGUAUCGAGGGUACUGAUCUCGAAUUGAAGAGAGUAAUAAUAUUAAUAUUGAAAGUGUGGAAUAAUUUUAUUUAAUAGUAUUAUGGUAAUGAAAUGUUAUCGUUCUUUAAGAUAUCUAGUUACUUAAGAAAUGAGUUGAAUUCAGAUAUUUAUGGGUUAGGUUAUUUUUAGUGAAUGGAUUAAUUGUUGUAAAUAUUAAUAAUUUAGGGGAUGAGCUCUAAAUUAGUGUUAAUAAUAGAAAAUUGUAUUUAAAAAUUAGGCUUUAAAGUAGCUGAAUAUUUAAUGUGUUAUAACUUAUUUAAUAAAAAUUUUAUUUGGUAUUAUUUUAGUGUCUUAUUAAGUUGAUUUUAGGAAUGGUUGUAAUAUGUGAAAAUGAUUAAAUUAGUAUAAGUAAAGUAUUGUUAAUGAAUUUGUUGAGUAAAUUUAUAAUAAGGAAUUAGGCAAAUUUUAUGCUCGCCUGUUUAACAAAAACAUGGCCUUUUGUUUGAAUUUAAGGUCUGGCCUGCCCACUGAAAUUUGAAGGGCCGCGGUAUUUUGACCGUGCAAAGGUAGCAUAAUCAUUAGUCUUUUAAUUGAAGGCUGGAAUGAAUGGUUGGACGAAGUAUAAGCUGUCUCUUUAUAAAAAGUAGAAUUUAACUUUUUAGUUAAAAGGCUAAGAUGAAUGUAGAGGACGAGAAGACCCUAUAAAGUUUUAUAUCUAAUAUAUGAAAAUGAAUUGUAGUAGAUUUAAAGUUUUGAUGUAAAGGUAUUUAGUUGGGGUGACUUUAAGAAUUGAUAAACUUUUAAUUAUAUGGGAAACUGGGAUGAUAGAAUAAAUGAUCCAUAAAUGGUGAUUAAAAGAUUAAAUUACUUUAGGGAUAACAGCGUAAUUUUCUUUGAGAGUUCUUAUCGACAAGAAAGAUUGCGACCUCGAUGUUGAAUUAAGGUAAUUAAUGGGUGUAGAAGUUCAUUAAAUAAGUCUGUUCGACUUUUAAAUCCUUACAUGAUUUGAGUUCAGACCGGUGUGAGCCAGGUCGGUUUCUAUCCUUAUAGGAAAAAAUAUUUUAGUACGAAAGGACCAAAUAUUUAAUAGAUUAUUUUUUUUUGAAUAAUAGU
rnacentral:rRNA from 1 species